AUAUGGAUUGAAGAAUGAAUAAGAGAUAUUACCAAAUCAUUAUUUCAAUUUCUUCAGAAUUCAUGAGGACCUUCAAGAUGGCUGACUAGAUGCAUCUGACACUCACCUCUUCCAUGGAAGGGAAACAAAAUAGUGAGUGGAUAAGCACACUAUGAAUAGAUCAUCUAAGAGAGAACACUGGAAUUCAACACCGAAGUGACAGGAAGCACCCAAAGCAGGAAAGGAGAGGCGAGCAAGGCAGCCUGCUCAACCAGCAUUGGUGGAGAGCCUGGAGAGA
rnacentral:lncRNA from 1 species